UUUCUCUCUCUCCCUCCUUCCGCUUUUAAUUUCGGGGAAAAUCUACCAAGGCGAAGCCAGCAGCUUCGUUUUCGCCCGGCAGACGGAGGAUCCCCAGCCAAGUACCAACGCCGAAAGCGAACAUGGAGAGAAGCGAAGAUUACACGCGCACGGAGGGGAGGGAAAAAGCCAAAGGAGAGCGAGCGAGCGAGAAAUCCAAACACCCUGUUUAGGAAUUACGGGGCUUGAAUUGGAUUCCAUUGUUUAAUGGCUGGAAGUAGAUGGCUAAGGAGAAUCCAUAAGGGAAAAUCAUGAGCCAUGGUGGCAUAGUGGUUGGAAUGCAGUACUCCAGGCUUCUUCUGCUGCCUGCCACCUGCCUGCAAUUUGGCAGUUCAAAUCUCACCAGGCUCAAGGUUGACUCAGCCUUCCAUCCUUCCGAGUAUUUGAAGUGUAUAUGAUAUUACAAGAAACAAUUCUGUGUGAGUUCAAGAUUGUGGUUCUACAGAGAAAUAGGCUGUGCUUUGCCAGUUUCCUGUUCCCACUGAUCAUUGGCUGGGAACCCAUAAAAAUGGCCAUCAGGAAAUCAUCUGCAUCCUCCCUUUGGUUUGUCAAAAACUACUGUGUAAUAUUAAUUCAGUAGCAAUACAGAAGAUACUAAAAAUGGCACCGCUGGGGUUUGGUUCAGAAAAAGCCAAAGGUCUCUCUCAAGCAUCGUAGACAGGAUGCCUCAAAGCUGCCAUUGCUUAAGAUUGUCCACUGUCUACUGUGAUCUAAGAAUGAUUGAAGUUGUGAACUGAAAUGUAUCUGAAAGCAGUCAGCAGGAAGGUUUCAGAAUGAUAGAAUGAUGUGUGAUAGAAAGCAGAAAUGCCAGCAACAACAGGCAGUGAUUCUCACAACAAUUGAAAAAUUUAAAAAGUUUUGCGAAGUCAGAAGAAAUGUGAAAGGAAUUAGAGAUCCUCAACAUGUGUUAGAAAACCAGAAGCUUGAUUUACAUAGGAAUAAAAAUAUUGAGAAAUUAUAAGCAGCAGUUACUAAAAGGAGUUCCAUAAUCUUUUCCCAGGCACUUGGAUAAAGUUUCAUUUUUUUCCAUAACAACAAUAAUAAUUAAAAAAAUGAAGCUGGCACACACUUUGGAUCAUGGAAAAUACACAAGGGUCAGAAUCAGCUGACCCAAGAUACCCUGUAGUCUGCUCGCCUGUCAAGGAGACGUGGAAAUGUGCUGGCAUUCCAGCUGAAGACAUCAUUAUGAGUGAGAAAAUGCUCAAGGCCUUUUUUCAAAGUGGGCGCUGAAAGAGAUGCUUUCCUUCUUUAACUCCAGGGGAUGCUAAGAGCUGCCCCAGCAGACAGGUAUCAUAAGUUCCAAGUGGAGUUGCCCAGUUUAAGAAUACUAUUGACUGCAGAAAUUAAAUGCCAAGAACUGCUAAACAAUCUUGAAAUAGUGUUUAAACUGUCAAAACAGAAAACAUGUAGCUCUACAGGAGAUAAACGCAACACAACGGAAGAGACCUCUGGACAAGAACUUUGCUCACAAUCAGCAUAGGAAUUUGGAGACAUGGUCUUUUUCUUCCAUCCAUGCCUUCCCAAGCAUGAAAUUGACAACAGGAGCUGAAGUCAAGCUGCAGAUUGGAUGAUGCAGCUAAUGCAUAGGCAAAAUUUGAAAUGAGCACGUUUGAAAUCCUGAAGCUGUGGGGUCUGUGGUCCGCAGCUCCUUCUCCCAAGCACCAUAGAAGGACUGAAUUGAUAGGGCUUGUCCUCUGCUACUGAUAACCAAGAUUUGAUCCAUAAAAGUUGGCAGCUUUGUGAGCAAUAGGAAAGGAGCAGUUUUACUUUAACUCUAGCCAUUGAAUCUGAAGAGUAAUUGCCACCCUGGAAAGAUUGUUAAAUCUCAUAAAAGAUGCUGCAUGAUUGCUUGAACAACAUUCAGAAUUAAUUACACUUACCCUGAUUUAUAAUUGGAUAAUUCCUCAGGCCAUCCAUAGUUUUCUAAGAAUGCUGUCUUGUGCAUCCUGGUUCCUAAUAUUUGCUUCAUCUUGAGAGCAGAAGAAAGUAAGAAAACCUGCCAAAUCAAACCAAAGGGCACUCAAGACAAUGAACACAAUCCUCCACCCUUCCUCAUUUUAUCAUCAAAAUGACCUCCCUCUAAGAUACUAAGAGAGAUAAUUAUUGCUGUCAUCUAUGUCACCUAACAAGCACAUUCUGUUGUCUCAACAUUUCAUUUAGUGGAAUCAAACUUGAAGAACAAAUAAAGAUAUCAGAUAUGAAGUAUAGCUAAAAGGCAGUGAUGAAAGAACAGCAAGACUAUUGCAUCUUUUCAGCUUUGGAUUCAGUGACAAUAUAAACAAGUUCUCUGCUCUGAACAUUUAUUUCUGUAAUUUAAAGCAACAGAAUGUAAAAAAAAGUGUGUCUGAUUCAGUGGUCAUAUAUAUGCUUCCCAAAAUAUAUAUACUCCAUUGAAUAAGAUGUUAUUGUUAGUUAAUGUUGCUAUUUAAUGACUUGUCCAAUUGCAAGUGAAAUACAGUUGUUUUUACAAUCCAGGUAUCAGGAUCUUAAUCUUGGCCAACGAGGAAUUAACAAUGCAUUACUUGAAAUAGGAAAUGAACUGGGAGUUUCCCAACGGAACAUAGAAUCAUCCAUGAACUAUUGAUAUAAGUCAAAUAAAACAAAAAUCACAAUAUGAGAACUGUAAUAAACAUACGUCAUUUGGUCUUAUAUUAUGUUUCACUCCAUUAUACAGAAUGCUGAAUCUUGAAUAACUUCUUGCCUGAUUCGUAAACCAAUACAAAUCCAUAAAAAAGCUGCUGAAUAUUUCAAAUUCCUUUUAUAGUUGUGAUUUCAUGUUUUCCUAUUAAAUAAUUUUGCAUCACAAAAGAUGAAAAAAUAUGCAAAAAACAAAGAAGCAAAUAUAUUUAUGUUUAAGAAAGUUUGCAGUACAUUGCAGAAAGUUUUAAAUGGCAUUUCUUUUAUAAUCUUGCAAUAAAAGGUGGGGAAACACUAGAAUGCUUGAAAGAUUUGCCAAAUAUAUGAAAAUUAAAACAACAAAAAUAACAAUCAAUUGUAUUAAAUAUCGGGUGGAUAUAUGUUUAUUUCAAAAAAAGUUUUCAAGGCAAUCAGUUGGAUAUAGGCAUGCAUACACACACACACACACACACACACACACAAAUAUAUAUAUCCUCCAGUAAUCCUCCAAUAUUGAAUGUUUAACAUGUCUUCUUCUGAAUGUGUGGGGUAACAUUUCUACAAUUCCCAACCAACAUGGAACACUGUUGCCUGAUUUAUAAUUUAUCACAGUUUAACAGCAGUUGUUGAGAUUUGUUUGAAUGUACAAACUUCUUAACUAUGUAAGUUUAUGAUUCCAGCAAAAGGUGGCAUUUCUCAUUAAUACUCAUUUUUAGUAGUAAAACAAUUUAUUACUUAAUAGAUUGUGACUGAAUUUUAUUUUUAUUAUAAUUGUUUUAAUUUACUUUCUUAAUCUUACUGCUUCCUUAGCCAUUUUGAGGGCACUUUUUAUAGUUGAGAAUAGGGAUAUAAAUGAUCACACAAAGCAAAAGUAAAAGUAAAAAACAAAAGCCAAGAGAUUGUACCA